AGUUGGAGAUUAGAGGCUGAGGCCGUUGCUGGCAUUCCAUCGGAAUACAUGGGGCAAGCUGAUCUGGUCAAGAUGUGUCAUGUGGAUCACAGGAGCUAGAAGAGCAGGAUAACGAGAUCAGCAUAACAACAGCGACGUCCGGGUGUCCGUGGCCACACUUCGAGCAGCUUGUACACCUAUUGUACACCUAUUGCACAAAAGGGUCCAGGGGCUGGAGAUCCAGCAGAGGGGGACUGUAUAAUAUAAGCUACUGGGGUCUGGAAGCAGACUGCCUGGGUUCUGGGGUAAGUUACUUUAUUUUGGUUUGUUAGAUUCCUCAUCUGUAAAAAUGGGUAGAAUGAAAAUAAUUGCUUUGCAAGAUUGCCAUAAGGCCUGAGAUAAUGUCUGUGACAUACCUGAUGUACACGAAACAGAGACUAACUCUGUUAGCU
rnacentral:lncRNA from 1 species